AGAAACAGUUAAGAAUUCUUCUUUCCAGCACAACCAAUGGCAAAGCAGCUUCUUUCGGAGGCAUAAUGCAUUUGUAAGUAUCAGCAGUUGAAGACUUAAAAACCACUCAUUUUCUAGUGUAAAGCUGUCACACCAUCCCAACUCAAACUUCGGAACUGGAAAGUGAUUGCAGAGAGUGAAUAUGUGCAAGAUUCACUCUGUUAAGCUCCCUUUAUAA
rnacentral:misc_RNA from 1 species